rnacentral:rRNA from 1 species
UAUGUAUGGACGGGAUAAGUGCUGAAAGCAUCUAAGCAUGAAGCCCCCCUCGAGAUGAGAUUUCCCAACUUCGGUUAUAAGAUCCCUCAAAGAUGAUGAGGUCAAUAGGUUCGAGGUGGAAGCGUGGCGACACGUGGAGCUGACGAAUACUAAUCGAUCGAAGACUUAAUCAA